AAUCAUAAUAAUAACUUAACAAGUAAACAUGGGUCAUUGCCCCCCAUACUCCGCCCUCGCAUCCUAUUCCUUCCAUUAACAUAUAAAGGGCAAUGACCCCCAUAUAAAUAAACAUAUAUAUAUAUAACAUACAUCAACAUUAUUCCAAUCGAUGUAAAGUGCCAACCAUCCAUUAACCACGGCAGGGGUAUACCCGGAUACCUCUACCCCACCAGGUUCUGAGCCACCGACAGGACUCGAAACCUAUCAACCACCAAUGACCACCACUUGUUUGUCUUCCAUCACGUUCAUCCUGGGGAGCCUAUUUCCUCUCCUUCAGCUCCCCGUCCCGCCAUAAGCUCAGACCUUGACCCCUUAAGCCGUCUGAGCUCCGCCACCCCGAAGAAACAGCGCCCGCUGCAUACCAACCUGCCAACCCAAGUUGAGCAGAUCCCAACCCACCUCUGAAAGGUGAACCCCGUCCGAGCGGUAGUACCCCGGCAACCCCUCCUCCAACUCGCUGUGCCGUACCACCACACCUCCCAUCUUCCUAACGAAGCUCGCCAUUAAGCUGUUCACCUUUUUCCUGCAGUGAUCGAUCGCCACCGGAUCCCGCGCGUGCCGCCAUCGACGCCUUGGGACAAUCUCCGACCACACUAACAUAACCCCCGGAAGCAGGUCCCUCAAUUUGUUGAUGUCCUGCUUCAUCCACUUUACCAACCGACGUUGUGGCGUGAGGCCCAAGUCGUUACCCCCCGCAUGAAGGACCACCAUGUCCGGUGUCCUCCCGCCCACCACCAACCUAAACAUUGCCCCACAAACCUCCCCCCAGCAAAAUCCCCUGUACCCAAACCAUCGGACUGUCAACUGGUCCUUCGGAAAGCCCAGCUGCUGGCCCUGCAUUCGAGCUGCGGCCCUCCUCUCGGCCCAGAAGACAAAAGAAUGUCCCACAAUCCAAGCAACCCGUCCUGGGGAGAAGAAGAAAACAAGCAUGAGGGAAAGGCAAAGAGGACUCCUCCGUCCAUG